AUUGAACGCUGGCGGCAGGCUUAACACAUGCAAGUCGAGCGAGAGGCGGACGGGUGAGUAAUGUAUGGGAAACUGACUGAUGGAGGGGGAUAACUAAUGGAAACGGUAGCUAAGACCGCAUACAAUCAGAUGUGCCCAGAAUGGAUUAGCUAGUAGGUGGGGUAAUGGCUCACCUAGGCGACGAUCCAUAGCUGGGAUGAGAGGAUGACCAGCCACACUGGAACUGAGACACGGUCCAGACUCCUACGGGAGGCAGCAGUGGGUAAUAUUGCACAAUGGGCGCAAGCCUGAUGCAGCCAUGCCGCGUGUGUGAAGAAGGCCUUCGGGUUGUAAAGCACUUUCAGCGAGGAGGCGUUACUCGCAGAAGAAGCACCGGCUAACUCCGUGCCAGCAGCCGCGGUAAUAC
rnacentral:rRNA from 1 species